rnacentral:rRNA from 1 species
CCCUUAGAUGUUCUGGGCUGCACGCGCGCUACACUGAUGCGUUCAACGAGCAUAUUCUAACCUUGCCCGAUAGGGUUGGGUAAUCUUCUGAAAACGCAUCGUGAUGGGGAUAGAUUAUUGUAAUUAUUAAUCUUCAACGAGGAAUUCCUAGUAGUGGUGAAUCAUCAGUUCAUCGCGAUUACGUCCCUGCCCUUUGUACACACCGCCCGUCGCUCCUACCGAUUGAGCAAUCCGGUGAAUAAUUCGGACCGUGACCUCUUCGGCUUCCGAAGUGUGUUAUGGAAAGUCUAGUGAACCUUAUUGCUUAGAGGAAGGAGAAGUCGUANCA